AACGAACGCUGGCGGCAUGCCUAACACAUGCUAGUCGAACGAGACCUUCGGGUCUAGUGGCGCACGGGUGCGUAACGCGUGGGAACCUGCCCUUAGGUUCGGAAUAACUCCCCGAAAGGGGUGCUAAUACCGGAUAAUGUCUUCGGACCAAAGAUUUAUCGCCUUUGGAUGGGCCCGCGUUGGAUUAGCUAGUUGGUGGGGUAAAAGCCUACCAAGGCGACGAUCCAUAGCUGGUCUGAGAGGAUGAUCAGCCACACUGGGACUGAGACACGGCCCAGACUCCUACGGGAGGCAGCAGUGGGGAAUAUUGGACAAUGGGCGAAAGCCUGAUCCAGCAAUGCCGCGUGAGUGAUGAAGGCCUUAGGGUUGUAAAGCUCUUUUACCCGGGAUGAUAAUGACAGUACCGGGAGAAUAAGCUCCGGCUAACUCCGUG
rnacentral:rRNA from 1 species